rnacentral:lncRNA from 1 species
CCGCCUUGGUCGAGAGGGACUGAGAUGGAAUGAUGGACAACUCAUGACUUGUUAUACUAAUUGAAAAUUACGAAGCUACGACAACAUGCCGACUUAUCCCGAUGACCUAAGUGUAUCAUUUGUUUGGGAAAUUGCGUCAAAACUUUUUACUCAAGAAAUGACCAGACUGCAACCUCUAUAGGUGUGUUUGCUUGUUUUGAGUGGGGAUGAAAGAAAAGGAGUCAUGCCGCAUAUCUGAUUUAUUAAAUCGCAUUUUUUCUGUUUAUACAUGAGUAGAACUACCUUGUUCUCUGAAAAAAAUAAAAUUUCUCGCAUUUUUAUCUGUG